UUAAGCGACUAAGCGUACACGGUGGAUGCCCUGGCAGUCAGAGGCGAUGAAGGACGUGCUAAUCUGCGAUAAGCGUCGGUAAGGUGAUAUGAACCGUUAUAACCGGCGAUUUCCGAAUGGGGAAACCCAGUGUGAUUCGUCACACUAUCAUUAACUGAAUCCAUAGGUUAAUGAGGCGAACCGGGGGAACUGAAACAUCUAAGUACCCCGAGGAAAAGAAAUCAACCGAGAUUCCCCCAGUAGCGGCGAGCGAACGGGGAGCAGCCCAGAGCCUGAAUCAGUGUGUGUGUUAGUGGAAGCGUCUGGAAAGGCGUGCGAUACAGGGUGACAGCCCCGUACACAAAAAUAGCACAUACUGUGAGCUCGAUGAGUAGGGCGGGACACGUGGUAUCCUGUCUGAAUAUGGGGGGACCAUCCUCCAAGGCUAAAUACUCCUGACUGACCGAUAGUGAACCAGUACCGUGAGGGAAAGGCGAAAAGAACCCCGGCGAGGGGAGUGAAAAAGAACCUGAAACCGUGUACGUACAAGCAGUGGGAGCACGCUUAGGCGUGUGACUGCGUACCUUUUGUAUAAUGGGUCAGCGACUUAUAUUCUGUAGCAAGGUUAACCGAAUAGGGGAGCCGAAGGGAAACCGAGUCUUAACUGGGCGUUAAGUUGCAGGGUAUAGACCCGAAACCCGGUGAUCUAGCCAUGGGCAGGUUGAAGGUUGGGUAACACUAACUGGAGGACCGAACCGACUAAUGUUGAAAAAUUAGCGGAUGACUUGUGGCUGGGGGUGAAAGGCCAAUCAAACCGGGAGAUAGCUGGUUCUCCCCGAAAGCUAUUUAGGUAGCGCCUCGUGAAUUCAUCUCCGGGGGUAGAGCACUGUUUCGGCAAGGGGGUCAUCCCGACUUACCAACCCGAUGCAAACUGCGAAUACCGGAGAAUGUUAUUACGGGAGACACACGGCGGGUGCUAACGUCCGUCGUGAAGAGGGAAACAACCCAGACCGCCAGCUAAGGUCCCAAAGUCAUGGUUAAGUGGGAAACGAUGUGGGAAGGCCCAGACAGCCAGGAUGUUGGCUUAGAAGCAGCCAUCAUUUAAAGAAAGCGUAAUAGCUCACUGGUCGAGUCGGCCUGCGCGGAAGAUGUAACGGGGCUAAACCAUGCACCGAAGCUGCGGCAGCGACGCUUAUGCGUUGUUGGGUAGGGGAGCGUUCUGUAAGCCUGUGAAGGUGUGCUGUGAGGUAUGCUGGAGGUAUCAGAAGUGCGAAUGCUGACAUAAGUAACGAUAAAGCGGGUGAAAAGCCCGCUCGCCGGAAGACCAAGGGUUCCUGUCCAACGUUAAUCGGGGCAGGGUGAGUCGACCCCUAAGGCGAGGCCGAAAGGCGUAGUCGAUGGGAAACAGGUUAAUAUUCCUGUACUUGGUGUUACUGCGAAGGGGGACGGAGAAGGCUAUGUUGGCCGGGCGACGGUUGUCCCGGUUUAAGCGUGUAGGCUGGUUUUCCAGGCAAAUCCGGAAAAUCAAGGCCGAGGCGUGAUGACGAGGCACUACGGUGCUGAAGCAACAAAUGCCCUGCUUCCAGGAAAAGCCUCUAAGCAUCAGGUAACAUCAAAUCGUACCCCAAACCGACACAGGUGGUCAGGUAGAGAAUACCAAGGCGCUUGAGAGAACUCGGGUGAAGGAACUAGGCAAAAUGGUGCCGUAACUUCGGGAGAAGGCACGCUGAUACGUAGGUGAAGCGACUUGCUCGUGGAGCUGAAAUCAGUCGAAGAUACCAGCUGGCUGCAACUGUUUAUUAAAAACACAGCACUGUGCAAACACGAAAGUGGACGUAUACGGUGUGACGCCUGCCCGGUGCCGGAAGGUUAAUUGAUGGGGUUAGCGCAAGCGAAGCUCUUGAUCGAAGCCCCGGUAAACGGCGGCCGUAACUAUAACGGUCCUAAGGUAGCGAAAUUCCUUGUCGGGUAAGUUCCGACCUGCACGAAUGGCGUAAUGAUGGCCAGGCUGUCUCCACCCGAGACUCAGUGAAAUUGAACUCGCUGUGAAGAUGCAGUGUACCCGCGGCAAGACGGAAAGACCCCGUGAACCUUUACUAUAGCUUGACACUGAACAUUGAGCCUUGAUGUGUAGGAUAGGUGGGAGGCUUUGAAGUGUGGACGCCAGUCUGCAUGGAGCCGACCUUGAAAUACCACCCUUUAAUGUUUGAUGUUCUAACGUGGACCCGUGAUCCGGGUUGCGGACAGUGUCUGGUGGGUAGUUUGACUGGGGCGGUCUCCUCCUAAAGAGUAACGGAGGAGCACGAAGGUUGGCUAAUCCUGGUCGGACAUCAGGAGGUUAGUGCAAUGGCAUAAGCCAGCUUGACUGCGAGCGUGACGGCGCGAGCAGGUGCGAAAGCAGGUCAUAGUGAUCCGGUGGUUCUGAAUGGAAGGGCCAUCGCUCAACGGAUAAAAGGUACUCCGGGGAUAACAGGCUGAUACCGCCCAAGAGUUCAUAUCGACGGCGGUGUUUGGCACCUCGAUGUCGGCUCAUCACAUCCUGGGGCUGAAGUAGGUCCCAAGGGUAUGGCUGUUCGCCAUUUAAAGUGGUACGCGAGCUGGGUUUAGAACGUCGUGAGACAGUUCGGUCCCUAUCUGCCGUGGGCGCUGGAGAACUGAGGGGGGCUGCUCCUAGUACGAGAGGACCGGAGUGGACGCAUCACUGGUGUUCGGGUUGUCAUGCCAAUGGCACUGCCCGGUAGCUAAAUGCGGAAGAGAUAAGUGCUGAAAGCAUCUAAGCACGAAACUUGCCCCGAGAUGAGUUCUCCCUGACCCUUUAAGGGUCCUGAAGGAACGUUGAAGACGACGACGUUGAUAGGCCGGGUGUGUAAGCGCAGCGAUGCGUUGAGCUAACCGGUACUAAUGAACCGUGAGGCUUAACCUU
rnacentral:rRNA from 1 species